rnacentral:sRNA from 1 species
UAGGAAACCAAGGGAUGAAAGGUGCCAGGUCCCUGGCUGCCUCCUUGCCCGUGGCUGAGAAGUUCUGGUGGGAAGGAACCAUGGAGGGCCCAUCCGGACAUCCUUCCUCAGCUAAAACUGCCUCCUUCCAGGAUGCCGUGCGCAUGCUCAAUACCCUACAGACCAAUGCCGGCUACCUGGAGCAGGUGAAGCGCCAGCGGGGUGACCCCCAGACACAGCUGGAAGCCAUGGAACUGUACCUGGCACGGAGUGGGCUGCAGGUGGAGGACUUGGAUCGGCUGAACAUCAUCCACGUCACUGGGACGAAGGGGAAGGGCUCCACCUGUGCCUUCACGGAAUGUAUCCUCCGAAGCUAUGGCCUGAAGACGGGAUUCUUUAGGAUGGCAGCUGUGUCUCCAUGCCCCCCUACUUCCGCUUCCUGACACUCAUGGCCUUCCACGUCUUCCUCCAAGAGAAGGUGGACCUGGCAGUGGUGGAGGUGGGCAUUGGCGGGGCUUAUGACUGCACCAACAUCAUCAGGAAGCCUGUGGUGUGUGGAGUCUCCUCUCUUGGCAUCGACCACACCAGCCUCCUGGGGGAUACGGUGGAGAAGAUCGCAUGGCAGAAAGGGGGCAUCUUUAAGCAAGGUGUCCCUGCCUUCACUGUGCUCCAACCUGAAGGUCCCCUGGCAGUGCUGAGGGACCGAGCCCA